UCUCUAGAGGACUAGUGGGUAGGCCACGGCGCUUUCAGUGCUGCGGCCCGGGUUCGACUCCCGGCCAGGGAA